rfam:Cajanus cajan chromosome 6, whole genome shotgun sequence.
GUCAAGAUGGCCCAGUUGGUCUAAGGCGUCAGUUUUGUUUUGGUACUGCCUAAUCUAACGGACAUGGGUUCAAAUUCCAUUUUGACA